rnacentral:lncRNA from 1 species
UAGGAUUAGGGCUAUGCAAUAUAAUAAAUCAAUCGCUUCACAGUCCAACAUUAUCCUGUUAACUUUGAGAUUCAGAUUUAUUUUUUUAACGGUGGAAUUGUUCCAAAGUUGCCUUUUUUUCAAAUGUUUUUUUCUUUUUUUUCAUUAUGAUGGCAUGCAUAAGGGGAAAGUGGAACAAUGUGUUCGACCUGAGAUACAAGCAGUGAAUUAAUGAAUCGAGAGAUCUGGUUGGAUCUGAACAAGACACUUGCCUUUAGGAAUAGUAGUAGAUCACCAGAGCGCUUAAGAACGAGGGCCCAGCUAAUUAGAUGCAUUGCUACGCUUGUGUGCAUUUCGGCUCUUGAUUUUUUACCUUUACCCAGAGCAUUUCACCGUGUUCUGCAACAUGAGAAAAGCUGCAGAAAUUUUGGGGGUACUGCAGCACUGACACCCACCCACUCAUUCUGCAAGGAGCUGAUGUAAAAAGGGCUUAAGGCCAGGGACGAACGAACACAAGUAUACGCGGUUGCGCAGAAAGGAAAUGGGGGAGGACGUUGCCCCCCACAAGGCCACAAGUGGCUGACGACGAGGGGCAUGUGCGUUCAUCUGAGCAAAGGCAUUUUUGGGUCGUCGCUGAAAACUGAAAAAGGCUGGGACGCUUGUCUUCUUUCUUCCCUCCUCCGGUCCAUCCGUCCGCCCGCCCGCUGAACCGAACGUCCAAGCCAAACCGCAGGAAAACAGGCGAGACCGAUCACCAUUUCCGCGGAAAUCGAGAUCGAGAUGCUCCUCCUCUUCCUCCAGUCCUCCUGAUGUCCAGCUCGUCUUUAUUGGCGUGGCCACACUGGGCACGCGCAAACACCGCCCGGGAAAACGCCCGGCCGGCUGGCAGCCAGCGCUAGCUGGAAUUUGUUUGGCGGACACACACCGGCCAUCAGUAAGUACUUCCAGAACCAAAAUAUCCGCGGGUGAACUGCGUCGUCCUGUCGGUGGGAAUCGUCGUAUUAGCGAGCAUUCUUAUCAAGCCCUUGGUAUUAGUGCAGCAAAGGAGAAUAUUACCUUAUCAAGCCUCCACUGCAUUUUUGUUGGAUUUUGUGUAGUAAUUGGAUCCUUAUUAUCCCUAGCAAACCAAACACGACCUUAAUUUACUUCUCUUGCACCUCCGAUCCACCACACACAUAAAAAUUGUUGGAAAAAUUAACAGCGCCUAAGAUUUAUUUGAUAAUGCAGCAUAAAACGUAAAACCAAGAUAUACUUGCAGAUAAUAUCCAUGACAUUAGAAUAGAACAGAUCUAAACUAAUUCAACAAGAUUAACACAUAAAUAAAAGAAUCUAUAACGGAUCUAACCAUAAGACUGUCAUUGCAAUAAACCAAAAAUACAAAUUUACUUACUGUGACUUCCAUGAGUGAUGGUGACGAUCCUGAGCGGACUUGCGCAAAGCACUUCCCAGAAACCUGAUUCGUCGGCACCCGUGCAGGUCGUUAAAACGUCGGUGUUGGUUCGGAGACACCGCUCUCCCUUGAUCUGCGGCACGACAGACGAAGGGACGUCAGGGCAGAGAAGCGACGACGUAAAGAGAGGAGAAGAAGAGGACAAGUCGGUUGCUAUUCGCGUC